rnacentral:rRNA from 1 species
UACGUAGGGUGCGAGCGUUAAUCGGAAUUACUGGGCGUAAAGCGUGCGCAGGCGGUUGGCCAAGUCAGCUGUGAAAGCCCCGGGCUUAACCUGGGAACUGCGUUUGAAACUGGGGAGCUAGAGUGUAGAAGAGGGGGGUGGAAUUCCAGGUGUAGCAGUGAAAUGCGUAGAGAUCUGGAGGAACACCGAUGGCGAAGGCAGCCCCCUGGGCUAACACUGACGCUCAUGCACGAAAGCGUGGGGAGCAAACAGG